AGCGCAGGCGGUUAUUUAAGUCUGAAGUUAAAGGCCGUGGCUCAACCAUGGUUCGCUUUGGAAACUGGAUAACUUGAGUGCAGAAGGGGAGAGUGGAAUUCCAUGUGUAGCGGUGAAAUGCGUAGAUAUAUGGAGGAACACCGGUGGCGAAAGCGGCUCUCUGGUCUGUAACUGACGCUGAGGCUCGAAAGCGUGGGGAGCAAACA
rnacentral:rRNA from 1 species